rnacentral:rRNA from 1 species
CUACGUGCCAGCAGCCGCGGUAAUACGUAGGUCCCGAGCGUUGUCCGGAUUUAUUGGGCGUAAAGCGAGCGCAGGCGGUUAGAUAAGUCUGAAGUUAAAGGCUGUGGCUUAACCAUAGUACGCUUUGGAAACUGUUUAACUUGAGUGCAAGAGGGGAGAGUGGAAUUCCAUGUGUAGCGGUGAAAUGCGUAGAUAUAUGGAGGAACACCGGUGGCGAAAGCGGCUCUCUGGCUUGUAACUGACGCUGAGGCUCGAAAGCGUGGGGAGCAAACAGGAUUAGAUACCCCGGUAGUCCUGGCCGUAAACGAUGGGUACUAGGUGUAGGAGGUAUCGACCCCUUCUGUGCCGGAGUUAACGCAAUAAGUACCCCGCCUGGGGAGUACGACCGCAAGGUUGAAACUCAAAGGAAUUGACGGGGGCCCGCACAAGCGGUGGAGUAUGUGGUUUAAUUCGACGCAACGCGAAGAACCUUACCAGGUCUUGACAUUGAUGGACAGAACUAGAGAUAG